CCACCUAACCCUAUUCUUGAGUCUCUACCUCAAUCCGCCUCCUCUUCCCUUCUUCUCUAGAAAUGCCUCCUUCUUUCUCUGGAACUCUUUCUCUCUCUUAAAAUCAAAUCAUAUCAAUGAAUCUGUGAUGAUAAUUGGAGGGUGUAGAUUCUGAUUUUCUUCUUUCAUUUUCACUUUAAUCAUAUCAUCAAAUCUGCCAUGAUAAUUGGAGGGUGCAGAUUCUGAUUUUUUUUCAUCUUUUACUUUAAUCAUUCAAUUCUGUUUACAUGAAAUUAGUUCUCAGAUCUAGUGAUUUUUCAUAAGAUUUUGUAUUUUAAACCCAAUAAUGGGUAUUUUUUAUUUCUGUAAUUUGUUUGUUGUUGCUAAAGAAAUACAAGGUUUAGAUCUUGAGUUUUGGUUUUAUUUAUCCGGUUGGGUUUCCUCAAAACUUGUUAUCCUGGUUUAAGAUGUUUCUGGUAGUAACCUUAUUCAUGGAUUAAGGAGCUAUUUUGACCAAUCUUUGGACGGUAACUGAAAUUUGUUUAUAUCUGGUCUUUUUCUGUGAUGAUAAUACAAGGAUUAAAGUUAUGAUUGCUAUUCAUUUUCACUGUAUUUAUUCAAUUCUAUUUACUUGAAAUUAGCAUUUAGUUCUCUUUACAUAAAAUUAUUAUUCAGAUUUUGGGAUUUUUCAAUAAAUUUUGUUUUCCAACUCAAUAAUGGAUGGUUCUGAUCUCUUUAAUUUGUUUGUUGUUUCCAAAACUAAUACAAAUGAUUCAGAAUUUCAUAUCUUGAAUGUUGGCUUUAUUUAUCCGGUUGGGUUUCCUCAAAACUUUCUUGGUUUGCAAUGUUGGCUUUAUUUAUGUUAUCUGGAUUUGUUCUAAUGAACAAAUCUGGUUUGAAGAAUGUGUUUGAAAAUUGUCAAAUAUCAGGACCCGGUUUUUAUCAUUUUAGGGAGGGAGGAACGAGAUCCCAAUGAUGAGAAAAGAAAUUUAAAUGCAUUGAUGGGUGAUUCAAAGUAGAAAGCGUUCUUUAUCUUUUGUUUUAAAAUUGUGGAGAUUGUAAUUUUUUUUCUUAAGGAAUUGAUUAGAUUUGUAUUUUUGUUCUUUUUUUUUCUUUUCUGUAAAGACUAUAAUUUACUUAAGAAAUGACGUAAAAUGAAUUCUCUGAUAUAAUAAAAUUUAAUUAUUUUCUUAA